rnacentral:rRNA from 1 species
AUUGAACGCUGGCGGCAGGCCUAACACAUGCAAGUCGAGCGAGCGGCGGACGGGUGAGUAAUGUCUGGGAAACUGCCUGAUGGAGGGGGAUAACUACUGGAAACGGUAGCUCAUACCGCAUACCAUCAGAUGUGCGCAGAUGUGAUUAGCUAGUAGGUGGGGUAACGGCUCACCUAGGCGACGAUCCCUAGCUGGUCUGAGAGGAGGACCAGUCACACUGGAACUGAGACACGGUCCAGACUCCUACGGGAGGCAGCAGUGGGGAAUAUUGAACAAUGGGCGAAAGCCUGAUGCAGCCAUGCCGCGUGUGGGAAGAAGGCCUUCGGGUUGUAAAGCACUUUCAGCGGGGAGGCGUUACCCGCAGAAGAAGCACCGGCUAACUCCGUGCCAGCCGCCGCGGUAAUUC